rnacentral:rRNA from 1 species
GAUGAACGCUGACAGAAUGCUUAACACAUGCAAGUCAACCUGAACUUCGGUUUGGGUGGCGGACGGGUGAGUAACGCGUAAAGAACUUGCCUCACAGUUAGGGACAACAUUUGGAAACGAAUGCUAAUACCUGAUAUUAUGAUUAUAUGGCAUCGUAUAAUUAUGAUAGCUAUUUGCGCUAUGAGAGAGCUUUGCGUCCCAUUAGCUAGCUGGAGAGGUAACGGCUCACCAAGGCGAUGAUGGGUAGCCGGCCUGAGAGGGUGAUCGGCCCCAAGGGGACUGAGACGCGGCCCUAACGCCUCCGGGAGGAAGCAGUGAGGACUGUUGGACAAUGGACCAAGGGUCUGAUCCAGCAAUUCUGUGUGCACGAUGAAGUUUUUCGGAAUGUAAAGUGCUUGCAGUUAGGAAGAAAAAAAUGACGGUACCAACAGAAGAAGUGACGGCUAAAUACGUG